rnacentral:rRNA from 1 species
UACGGGGGGGGCAAGCGUUGUUCGGAAUUACUGGGCGUAAAGGGCUUGUAGGUGGCCAACUAAGUCAGACGUGAAAUCCCUCGGCUUAACCGGGGAACUGCGUCUGAUACUGGAUGGCUUGAGUUUGGGAGAGGGACGCGGAAUUCCAGGUGUAGCGGUGAAAUGCGUAGAUAUCUGGAGGAACACCGGUGGCGAAGGCGGCAUCCUGGACCGAUACUGACGCUGAGGAGCGAAAGCCAGGGGAGCAAACGGG